AAAUCCAUUAUGACUGAAUGACUAACUCAAAGAUUCAAGAAAUUAUUAUUUAGUUCGUAAAUUACUCAAAACUCUUAAUACUUGAAAUUCCUCAGCUUGUUACAAUCUUCAAUUAAUUGUUUAAUAAGACAAAGAAGAUGAACUCCAAUCAGUAAAGUUUCCUUCUCAUGUAUAAUCUGGUUGAUUCAGCUCUUUUAGAAGGAAGGCAAAACUAAUUUAGGAUGCUGCCCUUAAAUGCUCAGGCCCACUCACGUAGUCUCCCUAGUUCUGACGUCUUAACAUCAGUGGGGAACACUUGAGAAGAUUAGAUGGCAGAAGAGAGAAGGCAGUGGGCCUUGAGAGCAGCAGCUAAGGAGCCUCUCUUGCUCUCUUGAAGAGAGAAGUGUCACCUGGAAAGAGAAACAGGGAGCUGGUAGUCUCAGCGUUUUCCAGAGGAUACCGACUUUUGAGGCAAUGGCCCAGAGUGGCCACAUGUGUCUUGAAUAAUCGAAAUAACCUUUGCCUUUCACCGGGAGCCUCUUAAAGAUCAGAGAAACCAAGGAAGUAAUUUCAAGAUAUAAGAGGAAGUCAACAGGAUCACAUAUACUAAAAGAUGUCAAGGAAAUAAAGAGAGAAAAACUUCCAUUGGAUUUGUGCGGGAGCCUUGAACAAACACGUGUGCUACACGACACACCAGUUCUGGAGCUCCUUCUUGUGUUCUUCCCAAUAACCCCGCCCUGUGUGAAUAUGAAGCAUCAUAUACCUAUAAGCUUGAUGAGCAGUGUGUAUGUCCACGCGUAGGAUCUGAACCUGUGAACCCCAGGCUGCCAAAGAAGAGUGUGUGAACUUAACCACUAUGCCACUGGGCUGGCCCAAAGGCCUUCUGUUUUUAAGAGCGUCUAGACUCGAAGAGAUUUAAGAAACUUGUCCAAAGACGCAAAGCUGGAAGAUCAGCCCUGAGCUAACAUCUGCUGCCAAUCCUCCUCUUUUUGCUGAAGAAGACCGGCCCUGAGCUAACAUCCGUGCCCAUCUUCCUCUACUUUAUAUGUGGGACGCCUACCAUAGCAUGGCGUGCCAAGUGGUGCCAUGUCUGCACCCAGGAUCCGAACCAGCGAACCGGGGCCUGCUGAAGCAGAACGUGUGCACUUAACCACUGCGCCACCGGCCCGGCCCCUAAAAAAAAAUUUCAGUUUUGGAAAAUCGGAUUUUAAUAACUUUAACUUGAGAGCAUUUACACAGAAGGUAUGAGAGUAAAACUUUCAUAGGUUUUGGUUAAGUUUACAAGUUUUUCGUUCUCAUUCUCUUGGUCAUAAGGUAUCUCAUCUGUCUCUGUGGUUUAGGGGAGGAAGCCUUCUUUUAACACUACUGUCUACACAGAACAUCAGAAUGAGAUGGUGAGGUAACUAGAAACUUUACUGAUGUGCACGUUGUAUAAUUUAAUUACUUCGUAAACCUAAGCUCAAAAGGAUCAACUAUACAAAGGGAGUUUCAGUUUUUCAUUAUUUGGCAUUUCACAUUAUUAAUAUUUCUUGUUUGGUAGGAUACUUGCAAUUUUGCAUAUUGACUAACAAAGUAAUUAUAGUAUAAUUAUAUCAUUAGCAACAUUUUGUCCUGUUGUUCCUAAGGCUGAAUCCUACAGCAGUUAAAUAUUGAAGUGCUUAGUGAUUAAAAAGUAGGUUCUGUGGUUACCUCUUUGGGGUAACAAUGCUUCUGUUUCUUCUAAUAAGGAAAAGCAGGUGGGAAAAAUACCUAAAAUUGUCCAUUUCAGAAACAAGACUUCUGAAAUGGCAAAGUAAGGAACUCCAAAAAUCUACUCCAUAAAAGCAAUGAGGAUGCUGGAGACAGUGGUCAAUCAGAAUAAACUUUUUCAAAACCCCAGAAAAUAACAAAAGGCUUUACAGUAUAUGAAUUAUAUCUUAAUAAACCAGUUGUAAAAAGGGGCCUGUCUCAUCCAAUCUAGGUUCACCAAAAUAGCUUGCCCAUUUCUGUCUCUGUGGACGGACAUUUAGCUCUCUCCCACUUAUAGACGAUAUUGUGUGGGACAGAAAUUUUGGAGAAAAGUGAAAAAGCAGAAAUAGCCUGAAAAGUAGGCAGCCAGACAGCAAGCAACCAUGUUCAGGGGCAGAGUGGAUGAGUUGUCAGUGCUUGGAAAAUCCCAAUAUUUAACAAAAAUCGAAAGAGGUCUUGUCAAGCCACACAAUGAAAACCCAGCCUCAGACCCCAACAGAUCGCAGAACGAAAGGCCUGGAGUGAGGCAGCAGAGAAUUAAGAAGGGAAUCAGCGGCAUUUGGGUCCCAGUUCAUGUCACAGUUCAGCCACUUACAAGUUAUAUGACAAAUUCUCCACUUUCAGCCUAAAUUCCUCA
rnacentral:lncRNA from 1 species